UGGAGGAGAGUGGAUGGUACUCUGAGUUGGCUGAUGGGACUCCACCAGGACAAGACCCUGAGACAGACUGUUUGAUUUGUCCGGAAGGCUGAGUCACCAAAGGCCCACCACAAACAAAGAGUGCAGAGAGAUAAUUACAUUCAGAAUGGGUUUAGUAUUUCAACCUGGUAUGCAGCAGCAUUUAUGGGUUGAUAAUCUGCAACAUGAAAAUAAUGGAUGGGAAUAAGAUGUCAUUGCCUUACUUGGACUGUUGGGGAAAAGUUUAAAUCUUCACUGACACUUUGGUCCUUUCAUUUCUGCUAUUCUGACCUGGGAAUAUAUGUGGAAUAUCUUGAACCUGCUUUUGAGUGUCUGUUUACCCAGUCUUUCUUUGAACUGCUGAUGGUAAUGAAUUUCCUUCUUCCAACCCCAACUGCUGCAUUCAGUUAUCAUCAAGCACAGACAUCAACUAGAACUCUAAUCUUGCUCUGAUGGAUGGAAUACUAACCUUUCACAAGAUUAGAGACACAAGGUGCUCUGGAGAUAAUAAAAUUCAAAUAGGUUUAUUUCAAA